rnacentral:rRNA from 1 species
AUUGAACGCUGGCGGCACGCUUAACACAUGCAAGUCGAACGGCAGCACGAGAGGGGUUACCCUCUGGGUGGCGAGUGGGGGACGGGGGUGUAACGCGUAGGGAUAUCUACCUUAGCGUGGGGUAUACCGUGGAGAAACUGCGUCUAAUAGCGUAUGCUCUGUGGGGGUAAGAUUGGGGGUUGGAAACAGCUCACUCGCUGAUAGGUGAACAGGCGUUAGAUUAGCUAGUUGGUGGGGUAAAGGCCUACCAAGGCGAUGAUCUAUAGCUGGUCUGAGAGGAUGACCAGCCACACUGGAACUGAGACACGGACCAGACUCCUACGGGAGGCAGCAGUGGGGAAUAUUGGACAAUGGGGGCAACCCUGAUCCAGCGAUGCCGCGUGGGUGAAGAAGGCCUGCGGGUUGUAAAGCACUUUUGUUGGUGAGGAAAGGGGAUGGGUUAAUAGCGCGUUGUAGUGACGUUAGCCAAAGAAUAAGCACCGGCUAACUCCGUG